CUGUUGUAGACCUCCUGGACACGUCAGAAGAAAGAAUAGCUGCUUCGGGUGACCCUGGGAUGUGGAGCUUUGAUGACAUGGAGGGUUGGACGCCAGGAACAUGUGACCACGACAAGACAUUCAGGGCAGGACAAGGUUUAAUCACACUACUCGGAAUGGCAGGCAGUGACAUGUGGUUUUCACAACCAGAGGAAGUCUAAAAAGGAAGUUUUGGCAAGUACCUCUUUAAUUUGAUGGUUGUAGACAGAGAGUAUGAAUAAAUUGCGUUAAAAUGUAUUAAUUAUCCAA